rnacentral:lncRNA from 1 species
ACUCCGUGCUUGCCUAGCGACAUACUCACAACCACAUAGAUAAGGGGGAGUUGUGCAGACAGCUUUUCAGGGUUAAGCAAUUGACUAUCAAUCAAUAAUCUUUUAUGAAAGAAGAGAUGGUGCAGCACACGCAUGCCCAAUAUUAAGAGAGAGAAGACAUUUAUUGAGGCAAGCAGCUGGAGUGGACCUGCCCCCAUCACCAGGCCAGCUUCCCACCUGCACGUGCAGCUCUUUCUUCUUUUGCAGGAGGCUGGCUCUGCUCAUUAGACAUGCAACAAAGAGCUGGCCUGUGGAGCACACAUCCAUAUUCAUAACUCAAGUCAGCUGGAAAGUUGUACAUUUUUCUUUCUGGGAAGUCAUGGCGACAAAGACUGAAGACCCAGGCAGCACAAAUGUGAAUGAUGGAUCUCUUGGAAGAACAACAAAGACUGAAGUGAGUAUAUUUUAUGCUUGGAAAUGAGCAAAUCAUUCCUUUUGACAAGCCAUUGAUGUUGGGGUUCCAUGGAAAAGAGAAGGAGGUGAACAAAAGGAAGAAAUGCAGAGAAAAAUAUGGAAUAGAAAUAUGAGGGAAGAUAUUAG